AUCAUGGCUCAGGAUGAACGCUAGCUACAGGCUUAACACAUGCAAGUCGAGGGAAACGAUAUUGGAAGCUUGCUUCCGAUAGGCGUCGACCGGCGCACGGGUGAGUAACGCGUAUCCAACCUGCCCAUCACUUGGGAAUAACCUUGCGAAAGUAAGACUAAUGCCCAAUGACAUUUAUAGAAGGCAUCUGAAAUGAAUUAAAGAUUUAUCGGUGAUGGAUGGGGAUGCGUCUGAUUAGCUUGUUGGCGGGGUAACGGCCCACCAAGGCGACGAUCAGUAGGGGGUUCUGAGAGGAAGGUCCCCCACAUUGGAACUGAGACACGGUCCAAACUCCUACGGGAGGCAGCAGUGAGGAAUAUUGGUCAAUGGGCGAGAGCCUGAACCAGCCAAGUAGCGUGCAGGAAGACGGCCCUAUGGGUUGUAAACUGCUUUUAUGCGGGGAUAAAGGGGGCGACGUGUCGCCCCUUGCAGGUACCGCAUGAAUAAGGACCGGCUAAUUCCGUG
rnacentral:rRNA from 1 species